rnacentral:rRNA from 1 species
UACGUAGGGGGCAAGCGUUGUCCGGAUUUAUUGGGCGUAAAGAGCGUGUAGGCGGCCCGACAGGUCCGUUGUGAAAACUCGAGGCUCAACCUCGAGACGUCGAUGGAAACCGUCGGGCUAGAGUCCGGAAGAGGAGAGUGGAAUUCCUGGUGUAGGGGUGAAAUCCGUAGAUAUCAGGAGGAACAUCAGUGGCGAAGGCGGCCAUCUGGCUCGUUUCUGACGCUCAGGUGCGAAAGCGUGGGGAGCAAACAGG